rnacentral:rRNA from 1 species
AUUGAACGCUGGCGGCAGGCCUAACACAUGCAAGUCGAACGGUAGCACAGAGGGCUUGCUCUCGGGUGACGAGUGGCGGACGGGUGAGUAAUGUCUGGGAAACUGCCCGAUGGAGGGGGAUAACUACUGGAAACGGUAGCUAAUACCGCAUAACGUCGCAAGACCAAAGAAGGGGACCUUCGGGCCUCUUGCCAUCGGAUGUGCCCAGAUGGGAUUAGCUUGUAGGUGAGGUAACGGCUCACCUAGGCGACGAUCCCUAGCUGGUCUGAGAGGAUGGCCAGCCACACUGGAACUGAGACACGGUCCAGACUCCUACGGGAGGCAGCAGUGGGGAAUAUUGCACAAUGGGCGCAAGCCUGAUGCAGCCAUGCCGCGUGUAUGAAGAAGGCCUUCGGGUUGUAAAGUACUUUCAGCGGGGAGGAAGGGAGUGAGGUUAAUAACCUCAUUCAUUGGCGUUACCCGCAGAAGAAGCACCGGCUAACUCCGUGCCAGCCGCCGCUGUAAUAC